AUUUGCAAAAGGAGUCUGAGUGAAAGGUUAGGAAUUUUUGAGCAGAUCAUUUUUUAAAUGACGCAGCACUGUGCUUAAGUGGAUGUAUUUACUACAGAGGCUUAACACUUACAUUCAUAGAAAAGUUGCUGAAUCCUAUAUUUGUCUUUGAGGUAAUAGAAUGGCCAAUUGUAAGAGACACAAAGAUUUGUGCCAGCGCACACCGGCAUCUUGGAAGAAUCGGCCAUUCUCGAGGUUAUGGUUAAAAGCUGCGCCUCAAGAAUCUGUUGGACCUGGCAUGUACACAUGGCUGGAUUACAGAACACCAAGGGGAAAGACUGUAUGUUAAAUAUCCGUACUGGCUCAUCGUGAAAUCCGACAAUGACCUGACAGCACUUAAAGGACAAGGAAAGGUAAAAAAAUAAAAUCCCAUUUUUACU